GACGAAGGGGGCUAGCGUUGUUCGGAAUUACUGGGCGUAAAGCGCGUGUAGGCGGUUGUUCAAGUCAGGUGUGAAAGCCUUGAGCUCAACUCAAGAAAUGCACUUGAUACUGGAUGACUAGAGGACCGGAGAGGAUAGUGGAAUUCCCAGUGUAGUGGUGAAAUACGUAGAGAUUGGGAAGAACACCAGUGGCGAAGGCGGCUAUCUGGACGGUUUCUGACGCUAAGACGCGAAAGCGUGGGGAGCAAAAAGG
rnacentral:rRNA from 1 species